rnacentral:rRNA from 1 species
CCUACGGGUGGCAGCAGUGAGGAAUAUUGGUCAAUGGGCGGGAGCCUGAACCAGCCAAGUCGCGUGAAGGAUGACUGCCCUAUGGGUUGUAAACCUCUUUUGUAUGGGAACAAAGGGCGCCACGUGUGGCAGUAUGUAGGUACCUUAAGAAAAAGGAUCGGCUAACUCCGUGCCAGCAGCCGCGGUAAUACGGAGGAUGCGAGCGUUAUCCGGAUUUAUUGGGUUUAAAGGGAGCGUAGGUGGGUUGUUAAGUCAGUUGUGAAAGUUUGCGGCUCAACCGUAAAAUUGCAGUUGAAACUGGCAGUCUUGAGUACAGUAGAGGUGGGCGGAAUUCGUGGUGUAGCGGUGAAAUGCUUAGAUAUCACGAAGAACUCCGAUUGCGAAGGCAGCUUACUGGACUGCCACUGACACUGAGGCUCGAAAGUGUGGGUAUCAAACAGGAUUAGAUACCCGUGUAGUC